rnacentral:piRNA from 1 species
AAGUGUAUGAACCGAAGCCUUCAACCA